CACCUCCCUUUCGGGAAAUGGCAAUCAGGGCGGGCUCCCAGCCCCUCGCAGAAAGGGAGCAUUCUCACUUCAACAUCAAAAUCUGCAUGCUAUCCCUCCAUCAACUCCAAGCCCUCCGUCCUGGAGCUUUCCCCAGCCACUGCAGGGAGCACAGCAGUAGACCUCGCUGCCAAUGCUGAGGUGAUGGACAAACUCCAGUUUGGAUACCAGCCCAACGACUGAAGCCAUACCAUAAAGCCAACAAGAAAAAGAAAAUUCCUGUGGGACGUUGAGCCACCAGUGAUGCAGUUCCAGGGUCUGACACUGAAGACAACAGUGAUCAGGCCGACACCCUGAACUAGGGAAGCCCGACACCCAACUUGGGGUCGGAUAAAAAAGCUGUGUCAGGAUGCUGAAAAACAAGUUCAGCAAGCUCAGCUGCCUAUGACAGGUCCUAACCUGAUGGCGACAAUGUUGGCUUUAAUUGCUAUUGCUUCCUCAGAUGCACAAGAAAAACCCUCUCAGAUCUAAAGCAGAAAGAAGCUGCUUGGUCCAUCCUGUCUGCAUCGAAGAAACAAAAAGGGGGACAUGUGGGGAACCAAGCUUUUCAUGUCACUUAGACCAUGUCCAGGGUGGCGGCCUGGAACACUGGGUUACAAGCCUGCAUGUAACGCCAUGUAGGCAUGCCCUGUAAAGAUGUGUGUCUUGUGGCUAUGACAGCAGCAUUAACCAUUGACCCCAGAUUGUUCCCUCUUAUCCACAGCAGAAUGUAAAGAUUAAUAUCUGAGAGACCCUGAAUGCUUUUGAUCAUGUAGCGUAGUCCAGCGUUGUGUAACAAACAAAUAAAUAACUGGAGCACAGGUGCAUCAGCACCCACUUGGCACAUGAUGCUGUGGGUCCUCUGCUCCCUUAAAUCUUGA